rnacentral:rRNA from 1 species
UCUUUCCUACGGGGGGUAGCAGUGGGGAAUAUUGCACAAUGGGGGAAACCCUGAUGCAGCAACGCCGCGUGAGUGAAGAAGGUUUUCGGAUUGUAAAGCUCUGUUAGCAGGGAAGAGGAAGGACGGUACCUGCAGAGGAAGCCACGGCUAACUACGUGCCAGCAGCCGCGGUAAUACGUAGGGGGCAAGCGUUAUCCGGAAUUACUGGGUGUAAAGGGAGAGUAGGCGGCAAGGUAAGCGAUAUGUGAAAGCCUUAAGCUUAACUUAAGGAUGGCAUAACGAACUAUCUAGCUAGAGUACAGGAG